rnacentral:rRNA from 1 species
CUAGGAAUCUGCCUGGUAGUGGGGGAUAACGCUCGGAAACGGACGCUAAUACCGCAUACGUCCUACGGGAGAAAGCAGGGGACCUUCGGGCCUUGCGCUAUCAGAUGAGCCUAGGUCGGAUUAGCUAGUUGGUGAGGUAAUGGCUCACCAAGGCGACGAUCCGUAACUGGUCUGAGAGGAUGAUCAGUCACACUGGAACUGAGACACGGUCCAGACUCCUACGGGAGGCAGCAGUGGGGAAUAUUGGACAAUGGGCGAAAGCCUGAUCCAGCCAUGCCGCGUGUGUGAAGAAGGUCUUCGGAUUGUAAAGCACUUUAAGUUGGGAGGAAGGGCAGUUACCUAAUACGUAUCUGUUUUGACGUUACCGACAGAAUAAGCACCGGCUAACUCUGUGCCAGCAGCCGCGGUAAUACAGAGGGUGCAAGCGUUAAUC